UACGUAGGGCGCAAGCGUUGUCCGGAAUUAUUGGGCGUAAAGAGCUCGUAGGCGGUUUGUCGCGUCUGCUGUGAAAACCCGAGGCUCAACCUCGGGCCUGCAGUGGGUACGGGCAGACUAGAGUGUGGUAGGGGAGACUGGAAUUCCUGGUGUAGCGGUGGAAUGCGCAGAUAUCAGGAGGAACACCGAGUGGCGAAGGCAGCUCGCUGGGACGGUAC
rnacentral:rRNA from 1 species